ACAGCAGCCGCCACGGGAACACGAAGGGUGCAAGCGUUAAUCGGAAUUACUGGGCGUAAAGCGUGCGUAGGCGGUUUGUUAAGUCUGCUGUGAAAUCCCCGGGCUCAACCUGGGAAUGGCAGUGGAUACUGGCAAGCUAGAGUGUGUCAGAGGAUGGUGGAAUUCCCGGUGUAGCGGUGAAAUGCGUAGAGAUCGGGAGGAACAUCAGUGGCGAAGGCGGCCAUCUGGGACAACACUGACGCUGAGGCACGAAAGCGUGGGGAGCAAACAGGAUUAGAGACCCGAGUAGUCCCUGUCUCUUAUAC
rnacentral:rRNA from 1 species